UCACCCAUGGUCGGGCACUAUGAGAGAAUUUGUUGAGAGUAGCUUAUUUGGUCUGGGUGGAGAUGAUUAAUGAUGGCAUGUAGGAGUUUUAUGUGCAUCUCCACGGGCCUGAAGACACCAUUUAAAGAUAUGAUCGAAGAGACUAGGAAUUGCAAGCCAGUUAACCAACAUACUCAGAGAUGUUGGAGAGGAGUGGUAGCUACAUUAUCUCUCAUGUUGACUAAAUAUUGUUGAGGCUAUAGAAGAUGGACCUUCUGGACCUUCACCUGCUAGGAAUUGAUUAGACAUUGUUGAAGUUGUUAUUGAAGAUGCACCUUCACCAAACAAGAGGGAAGAA